UCCGAAGGGUGCAAGCGUUACUCGGAAUUACUGGGCGUAAAGCGUGCGUAGGUGGUUUUUUAAGUCCGUUGUGAAAGCCCUGGGCUCAACCUGGGAAUGGCAGUGGAUACUGGAAAGCUAGAGUGCGGUAGAGGGUAGUGGAAUUCACGGUGUAGCAGUGAAAUGCGUAGAGAUCGGGAGGAACACCAGUGGCGAAGGCGGCUACCUGGACCAGCACUGACACUGAGGCACGAAAGCGUGGGGAGCAAACAGG
rnacentral:rRNA from 1 species